CGUAAAUUAACGUCACAUCUUAUCUUCCGGAAUGGUUCCUGUUGUGAUUAUAGCAACGUUGUAAGGUGGUUAAAUAGGUAGCUAGCUGCAAAAUUAUUGUUAAUAGAGUUCGUUUUCUUCAUAAUUUUACCAGCUAGAUCAAUAUCAGUCAACUUGUAUAUUGUCUCAUGACUCUACACGUGUCGGUAUGGACAACCGUUGUUAUUGUUGUGCAUCAAAGUUCAGUCUCUUCAAGAAGGAGCUGGGCUGUAAAAGCUGCGGCCGCUCCUUCUGCUCCAGCUGUUUGACUUUCAGUGCUUUGGUGCCUCGCUGUGGCAACACCCAGCAGAAGGUCUGCAAACAGUGCCAUGGUAAUCUGACAAGUGGAGAAUCUUCCAACAGUGCUGCAAAAUGGUCUCCUCCUGAAAAUUACAAAAAACGAGUUGCUGCACUUGAGGCCAAACAGCAGGGACAGUCAACACAGCCUCUCGUGCAAAGGGGCAAUAGUAACAGUAAAGCAGGCCAUCUACCAGCCAAAGGCCUGAGUAAGGAAGAUCAGGCUAUUGCUGAAAGACUUCAAAAGCUGAAAGAGGACACUGCGCCAAAGUCUAUCCCCUCUGAGAAAGAACUUGAGUCUCGCCUUGCUGCUCUGAAGACUCCCAGCCGGCCUUUGCCUUCUGCAGGAGAGAUAGAGGAGCGCCUGGCAGUUCUACGGGGUCAGACUCCACCAUCCCAAGCUCCUCUACCCGUGCACCAGCCUCCAGAUAACAGGACUCAGACUGAACAAGCCAAUGAUCUGAUUACUCAGAUGACAGAGGAAGUUGCCAUAGAUGACCAGCAAUCAAAUCCUGAAUGCAGUGAAGAUGGCCGCAUGAAUGAUCUCAACAAGGGGGAGGGGGGAACAUUGGAUGAGAAUUUGGAGGAGAACCAGGAGGUGGACAAGCAGCUGGAGACUGAGAAGGCCCGUGUCCUGGAGGAGGCCAUGGAGGAGCUGAGGAAGGAGCGCCAUUCCCAGGAUCAGAUCCUCCACAUGGCCAAGAGGAUGGCAAUACUGAAGGGGAAGGACCCCGACAAAGUAACUAUGGAGGACUUUCAGCACCCUGACAGUGAGGAGGAAACUGAAGAAGAAGCUGUGAAGAGAGUGUUAAAACAGCUCUCGGAAGAAGCUGCAUUGGAUGAGGCCAGUGGCUACAACAUACGUUUAGAACACAGUGGACCAAAGAAUGUAGAAAAGAAAACAACUUCCAAAAAUCCGACCCGAUGAUUCAACAUCCAAGAGUAGGAUUUCACCAGCUGCUGUUGCACAUCAGCCAUCAGACAGUGAUGAGGAGGAGCUUCCAUGGUGCUGCAUCUGUAACCAUGACGCCACGAUUCGCUGUCACACCUGUGAUGGAGACCUAUACUGCAACCGCUGCUUCAGGGAAGGCCAUGAUAAAUAUGACAGGAAGGAGCAUCGCACCACCAACUACACUGCACCAAAGAAGAAGAGGAAGACAUGAUGGUGAGACUGGGCUGUCGGUGCUAUCAGGCUCUGGUCAGUUAUCACAGUUUGACUCGUGCUUAGGACUUAAAGUGACCUAUUAUUGUUAAUAAAUGUAAGUGUCACAUAAGAUUAAAACACUACCUAUUAAUAUUUCAAACAAGCCAGAAUUUAACCGUCAUUUAUCUAAUAUGUCCAAAGGGGCUAUAUUCAUGCUACUGUGUAGACACAAGAAGAGCAGCAUCUUCUUUCUGUAAUAGCUAACAGUGAUCUAAAUGAACUCAACAAAUCAAAAACAAUGGGUAACAUGUUGGGCAAAGCCUAGAAAUAGACGCGUACUUUAUUGUAGUACAAAAGGUAUAAUAUGAAAAACAUAGCUGCUAUUUCUUCUGCGGCAUUUUAGCAAACUGCACAGCUUCUGCACAUUAAAACAUUUCAAAAUGUCCAGCUGAAUAAGAAGCUUGAAGUGUUUCUUAUGUCACUUGCAUUUGUCACCAUUUGAUUAUUUAUAAAAGAAAGACAGCACAUACAGAAAGCAGCCACACCACGAGUUCAUCUGGGAUGAUGUGCAAACCUAGACCACUGUCAGCUCUGGACUGAAAAAGUACAGAGGAGUCAGUAUAAAAGGAUUACCGAGGGCUUUGUUUUCUUUUGGCAGCCUCCGCAGUCACUCUUGUAAUCGUUUGACAUGAGUGUUGCCUUUCUUGCCCUUAUGUGUAAUUGCAUUAUGAAGGAAGCAAAAGUUCUAUGUCAUAUUUAUAACACUAAAGCCUCUUUUUUUCGAUCACUAAUAUCAUCACUUGACAAACAUUGACUGGCUGGCUGGCCUUGUCAAAAGUGCAGUCUUACGGUAUUGAUGGCCUCUGUGUCAGAGAAGCAAGAGUGGAAGUGUGGGGCGAACCGAGAAAAUGAUUAUGAUGGAGGCCUCAGCUGAAAGACCCUCUGUGUAUGACAGAGAGUAGGCCAGAGUGCAGUUUCAUCUGUGUGCAUUACUGUCAAGCUGAGGAGAAACCAUAAUUACACUUUCCUCUGGGGGCUUGCUCCAUUACGGUUUGUAUGGAGGCUGUUACUGUGUUGUGCCUUGUCUGGUCGUGUCAUACACGCACCACAGGCAGGAAAUGGAUGAGGUUAAUGGAUGCAUUCUUAAUGGACCUUCCUGCUGCUGAUUUCAUUUUGUUCACUCCUAGACUUAUAUGUCAACGUCUCCUUUGUUUUCAUCCCUCUGUUGAAAGAUUUAACGCCAGAAAACUGAAGCUUUAUAUUCUGGGAAUCAUAUGCUGACAUCAUUCCAAUGCAGCAUUAACGUCUUACCUCUCUAUGCAGUACAUAAUCAUUCUUUUAAGGCAAAUAUGUGUUUUAACGGGUACUGUAAAUUGAUGGGUGUAUGGACAUGUUAAUAUUUAUUUGUGAAUGUGAAAUGAAUAAUACCUGAUGAUACUGUUGGUCACUCACUUUUUUUUAAAUCAGAUGUAACCCUUUUUUUGAGGAUUAAUCAACAGCCUUGUAUUGAAAAUGUUCAAUUUUAUUUUGACAUACAACACUGUUAUCAGAGCAAAAAUAUUUAUGUACAUAAAUAGGCAAUGGAAAAUGUACAGUGACAGUCUUCCUCAAAAAAAAAAAAAAAACAGUCCGUCUGAGUGAUAGUCGGUACAACUUUUAUCACAUUUGCAUUAUUGGUAUGUUUAAGACAAUGUUAUAGCAGUCCAUAAAUUAAAGUGAAAAAA